rnacentral:rRNA from 1 species
AGCGUAGGCGGUUUUUUAAGUUAUAUGUGAAAUCCCUCGGCUUAACCGAGGAACUGCAUAUAAAACUGGAAGACUGGAGUGUGGGAGAGGAAAGUAGAAUUCCUAGUGUAGCGGUGGAAUGCGUAGAUAUUAGGAGGAAUACCGGUGGCGAAGGCGACUUUCUGGACCAUAACUGACGCUGAGGCUCGAAAGCGUGGGGAGCAAACAGGAUUAGAUACCCUGGUAGUCCACGCCCUAAACGAUGCAUACUAAAUGAAGGCGGUAUCGACUCCGCCUGUGUUGUAGCAAACGCGAUAAGUAUGCCGCCUGGGGAGUACGGCCGCAAAGGUUGAA